CCUACGGGGGGCAGCAGUGGGGAAUAUUGGGCAAUGGGCGCAAGCCUGACCCAGCAACGCCGCGUGAAGGAAGAAGGCUUUCGGGUUGUAAACUUCUUUUAAGAGGGAAGAGCAGAAGACGGUACCUCUUGAAUAAGCCACGGCUAACUACGUGCCAGCAGCCGCGGUAAUACGUAGGUGGCAAGCGUUGUCCGGAUUUACUGGGUGUAAAGGGCGUGCAGCCGGGAAGGCAAGUCUGAUGUGAAAGCCCGCGGCUCAACCGCGGAACUGCAUUUGAAACUGUUUUUCUUGAGUGCCGGAGAGGUAAUCGGAAUUCCUGGUGUAGCGGUGAAAUGCGUAGAUAUAAGGAAGAACACCAGUGGCGAAGGCGGAUGACUGGACGGCAACUGACGGUGAGGCGCGAAAGCGUGGGGAGCAAACAGGAUUAGAUACCCCAGUAGUC
rnacentral:rRNA from 1 species